ACCUCAUGAUUGGGACAUUGAAUAAGUUUCCCAUUGAAUCUUUCCCAAACCUCAUACAAUGGUUAACCAUUCAAUUGUCUAAAUUUAGUGAUUUUAUCACAGAAUU
rfam:Capsicum annuum cultivar Zunla-1 chromosome 1, whole genome shotgun sequence